AACCAGACAAACUUUUAACCACGGGGGGUGAAGGGGGGGCCAGUGCCCCUGUCACAACAAGCUUGGACCCCCGUGUGGUUCCUAUAAAUGUCGAUUCUGAAUCAUUGUUAACAUUAUUAUCUUUUCCAUGUUAAUGCCUGCAAUGCAGUCAAGAAUACUAUAUUCCAACAAUAAUGUAACUGGCCCCUCUAAAAAGUACAACUGGCCCCAGCUUGGUCCCACAAGUUGAAAUUGACUAAAAACUCCCCUGUGUUCUAGUUGUGUUUGAGUAAUCAGAAGCUUGUGACCCUCUCCAUUCCACACCAUGACAUUCACAGGUGCAAUAUAAAAGGGCAUCUACUGACAAUUCAAACACAGAUAGAACAGCAGGCUCUCCUUCCCCUUGUUUGUUUCUUUCAGAGUUUUUCAACUCAAUUAAGAGGUGCAGCUAAAUCUUGCUGCUGGCCAACAUGAUCCAUUUGCUGGUCUUUGCUUUGGUCUCAGGACUGCUUGUGAGCUCUGUGACCCCUAAAGACCUUAAGCACGAUCCAGACGAUCCAGACCAUCCACCCCAUCCACACCAUCCACCCCAUCCACACCAUCCACCCCAUCCACACCAUCCACCCCAUCCACAACAUCCACCCCAUCCACACCAUCCACCCCAUCCACACCAUCCACCCCAUCCAGACCAUCCACCCCAUCCACACCAUCCACACCAUCCACCCCAUCCACACCAUCCACACCAUCCAGACCAUCCACAUCAUCCAGACCAUCCACCCCAUCCACAACAUCCACAACAUCCACCCCAUCCAUGCCAUCCACACCAUCCACAUCAUCCAGACCAUCCAGACCCUCAAGACCAUCCUAUCGACCCCAUAAAACCAAGUAACACUUACUUCAGCACACUUACAUGGUACACUGAUAAUGUUAACGUGUGUCUGGUACAUCAACUUUAAUUGGCUUUUCUUUUGCUCGGCAGUUCCCUUGCAUGAUUUUACAAACAUCAGUGAAGUGCUGGACGGAGUGGUUUGACAGGGACAACCCCACUGGGUCUGGAGACUAUGAGACCCUCGUGAAGCUCCGCUCAGAGAACCCUGGAAAGAUCUGUCGCAAUCCUGUACAGAUAGAGGUCACCACUACCAGUGGAGGGACUCUCCCUACUGGGAAUAUUAUUGCGACAAUGGACACAAUCACAGGCUUUGUCUGUAAAAAUGCAGACCAGCUUCCGCACAAACCACGCUGUUUCGACUACCGUGUCCGGUUCAGCUGUCACCCACCAUUUUGUGCAUCAUCAGGAGUGUGCUGGACCAAGUGGUUUGAUCGUGACGACCCUAGUGGGACAGGGGACUGGGAAACCCUUAGUAACCUCCAUCAAGAGAACCCUGGAGUCAUCUGUGCUCAACCCCUCUACAUAGAGAGCGUCGUCGUGGGAACCAACACCCCUGCCUGGGGGCAGAAUUUCCUCUACUACAAUCCAACCCAGGGCUUCGUCUGCCGCAAUCAGGAUCAGAAAGGCAAACCUUGUCUUGAUUACAAAGUGAGAUUUGCGUGCCCAUGUGGUUGCCCAUGUGGUUGCUCAUCUGGUUGCUAAUUCACUGUGAAGCUAUAUGGGUCUCAAAGUUGAUAAAUGGAAAUCUGGACUUAAUAAACAGGCUUUUUAGUUCAAA